rnacentral:lncRNA from 14 species
CCUAGGGCCACAGCAGCUCUACAGAGAGACUCUGCCAGCCCAGCGCCCAGCAUCCUUUUGGGAGUUCUCUCUGCAGGUUUCCUGGAACAUUCUCUAACUGUGUGCCAAGUCUUCACUCAUUCUGCAUGCAUGUGGGCCUCGGUCCUUGCAGCAUCCACCAC